rnacentral:lncRNA from 1 species
UGCCUGAUAUUCAUAUGAUGAAAUCAUAAUCUUUCAAUCAGUUUAAUUGAAGUCUGAAGCUGGCAUGUCAGUUAACUGCUAGAAGUCUGUUGUUAUUUAUGUAUUAUUGUCAUUUGAUUUAUUUUCUUUGGUUACAUCUUCUGUCAUCAGACUCGGACUUCUCUUGAACUGAAUUUUAAUGUGAGUAUUGUUAUGCGUUUACUUUUCUACAUUGGCUAGAG